GGAGAGUUGUCAGAGUGGUCUAUCGUGCGGCACUCGAAAUGCCGUGCCCGCAAGGGCCCCGGGUUCGAAUCCCGGGCUCUCCGCCA
rnacentral:tRNA from 1 species